UGCCCGCCACAGCCCCGCCCGUGCCUUCCCUCACUCUGCGGGUUUUUUGUUUUGUUUUGAUGUGCUUGCUUCAACGUCAUCUCCAUGAAGCCUUUCCUAUUUAAAAAUUCCUACCUGCACUGCCAUCAUUCCAGAUCCCCAGAUCGGGCUCUGUUCCUCGCCUUUUGAAGAACAUUGAUCAACUUCUAAGGUAAUAGCACCCAGGAUUGACGUAGACUCCCCCAACCAGCACCAGGAUGCUAGCGCACAGACAAGCAGGAUCCUUUCAAAGCCCAAGGUGGGCCACAUCCCUCCUCUGCUCAGAAUCCUCCCCUGGAUCCCACCUCCACUUACCGUAAAAUGAGUUGGCUCCCUGACCCUCCCACCUCAGGAUCUUUGCGUGGGCUCUUCCGCAGCAGAAGGCGCUCUAGUCCCUCAUAUCCUUGAGGUCUCUGCAGAACUCAGGCCUUCCUUAACCACUGUCAUCAAUACUACAAACCAUUCUCCCUGACACCCUGACUUCCCUUGUCUGGUUUUUGUUGUUUCCUUUGAGGAGCACUCAUCACCGACAUUAACUAUAUACCUCA